rnacentral:rRNA from 1 species
GAUGGACGCUGGCGGCGUGCCUAAUACAUGCAAGUCGAGCGAACGGACGAGAAGCUUGCUUCUCUGAUGUUAGCGGCGGACGGGUGAGUAACACGUGGAUAACCUACCUAUAAGACUGGGAUAACUUCGGGAAACCGGAGCUAAUACCGGAUAAUAUUUUGAACCGCAUGGUUCAAAAGUGAAAGACGGUCUUGCUGUCACUUAUAGAUGGAUCCGCGCUGCAUUAGCUAGUUGGUAAGGUAACGGCUUACCAAGGCAACGAUGCAUAGCCGACCUGAGAGGGUGAUCGGCCACACUGGAACUGAGACACGGUCCAGACUCCUACGGGAGGCAGCAGUAGGGAAUCUUCCGCAAUGGGCGAAAGCCUGACGGAGCAACGCCGCGUGAGUGAUGAAGGUCUUCGGAUCGUAAAACUCUGUUAUUAGGGAAGAACAUAUGUGUAAGUAACUGUGCACAUCUUGACGGUACCUAAUCAGAAAGCCACGGCUAACUACGUGCCAGCAGCCGCGGUAAUACGUAGGUGGCAAGCGUUAUCCGGAAUUAUUGGGCGUAAAGCGCGCGUAGGCGGUUUUUUAAGUCUGAUGUGAAAGCCCACGGCUCAACCGUGGAGGGUCAUUGGAAACUGGAAAACUUGAGUGCAGAAGAGGAAAGUGGAAUUCCAUGUGUAGCGGUGAAAUGCGCAGAGAUAUGGAGGAACACCAGUGGCGAAGGCGACUUUCUGGUCUGUAACUGACGCUGAUGUGCGAAAGCGUGGGGAUCAAACAGGAUUAGAUACCCUGGUAGUCCACGCCGUAAACGAUGAGUGCUAAGUGUUAGGGGGUUUCCGCCCCUUAGUGCUGCAGCUAACGCAUUAAGCACUCCGCCUGGGGAGUACGACCGCAAGGUUGAAACUCAAAGGAAUUGACGGGGACCCGCACAAGCGGUGGAGCAUAUGGUUUAAUUCGAAGCAACGCGAAGAACCUUACCAAAUCUUGACAUCCUUUGACAACUCUAGAGAUAGAGCUUUCCCCUUCGGGGGACAAAGUGACAGGUGGUGCAUGGUUGUCGUCAGCUCGUGUCGUGAGAUGUUGGGUUAAGUCCCGCAACGAGCGCAACCCUUAAGCUUAGUUGCCAUCAUUAAGUUGGGCACUCUAAGUUGACUGCCGGUGACAAACCGGAGGAAGGUGGGGAUGACGUCAAAUCAUCAUGCCCCUUAUGAUUUGGGCUACACACGUGCUACAAUGGACAAUACAAAGGGCAGCGAAACCGCGAGGUCAAGCAAAUCCCAUAAAGUUGUUCUCAGUUCGGAUUGUAGUCUGCAACUCGACUACAUGAAGCUGGAAUCGCUAGUAAUCGUAGAUCAGCAUGCUACGGUGAAUACGUUCCCGGGUCU